GGUAAUACAUAGGUCGCAAGCAUUAUUCGGAUUUAUUGGGCGUAAAGCAAGCGCAGGCGGAUGUGUAAGUUCUGUGUUAAAAGUAGCUACUUAAUAGUUGUUUGCACCGAAUAUCUACAUGUCUAGAAUGUGUGUAGGAAGUUCUUGGAAUUAAACAUGGAGCGGUGGAAUGUGUAGAUAUGUUUAAGAACACCGGAGGCGAAGGCGAAAACUCUAGGCCAUAAUUGACGCUUAGAGCUUGAAAGUGUGGGGAGCACACAUGGGAUUAGAUACCCCAGUAGUCCACACCG
rnacentral:rRNA from 1 species